rnacentral:rRNA from 1 species
UACGUAGGCAGCGAGCGUUGUUCGGAGUUACUGGGCGUAAAGGGUGUGUAGGCGGUCCUCUAAGUUUGGUGUGAAAUCUCCCGCUCAACCGGGAGGGUGCGCCGAAAACUGGAGGGCUAGAGUGCGGGAAGGGAGAGUAGAAGUUCAUGGUGUAGCAGUGAAAUGACGUAGAGAUCAUGAGGAAGACCAGUGGCGAAAGGCGGGUCGCUGGACAGUUCCUGACACUGAGACACGAAGGCCAGGGGAGGCAAACGGG